ensembl:miRNA
CCCAGUGUUCAGACUACCUGUUCAGGGUCUUACUGGUGUACAGUAGUCUGCACAUUGGUU